rnacentral:lncRNA from 8 species
UCUGGCUUAUGAUACAGCUCUGGACUACUNNNNNNNNNNNNNNNNNNNNNNNNNNNNNNNNNNNNNNNNNNNNNNNNNNNNNNNNNNNNNNNNNNNNNNNNNNNNNNNNNNNNNNNNNNNNNNNNNNNNGUGCCUUGAGACUGAGUUGCUGUGCUUGCUGUGUCCUGUGUGUGUGCCUGGCUGCGGGCGAUCAGAUCUGAGCAUUUCGCGGUCAGCGGCUUCGCCCUGCUUGGCCCCCGCUGAUCCCCAGCAGGCCCUCCUCAGGCCCCCCCGGGCUCUCGCCGGCCCCAUGAUGAAGGAGGAGGGAGCGCUGUGCCGUCGCCGCUUCUCAACGUGCGGCACGACCAGCUCGCCGCGGCCCCCACACCCCGACGGACGCAAGCUCAUCCGCAACGCUUCUUUCGGGGGCUACAACGAGCUGUCGCCCCUCUCGCUGCCAGGUUUCGACCGGGGGAAAGAAGAUUCCCUGCCUCCGAAAGAGGACUCCUCUCACUCCAUAUCCAAGAGCAAGGUAUGGUCCAAAAAUACACCCCAGACUUCCUCUCCUCUCACAGCUCUCCUGUCCUUUCUCUCUUUACAGGACGCACAAGGACAGAAAACAUACCCAUCCACUCACUCUGAAGCAGAAACUUUUGAAAUCGACUUUAUAUCUUUGGCCAAAGUUCCCAACCAUUAAAGCCUCAUGCUUUACCAUCAACUCUUUAUGAGCAAGUAGGAGAGUAGGAGAGUAGAGGAGAGUAGAGGAGAGUAGAGGAGAGUAGAGGAGAGUAUCGAGAGUAGAGGAGAGUAGAGGAGAGUAGGAGAGUAGAGGAGAGGAGGAGAGGAGAGGAGAGUAGGAGAGUAGAGGAGAGUAGAGGAGAGGAGAGGAGAGUAGAGGAGAGUAGAGGAGAGUAGAGGAGAGUAGAGUAGAGGAGAGUAGAGGAGAGUAGAGUAGAGGAGAGUAGAGUAGUAGAGGAGAGUAGAGGAGAGUAAAGGAGAGUAGAGUAGUAGAGGAGAGUAGAGUAGGAGAGUAGAGUAGGAGAGUAGAGUAGGUUAGAGUAGAGGAGAGGAGGAGAGUAGAGUAGGUUAGAGUAGAGUAGAGGAGAGGAGAGUAGGUUAGAGUAGAGGAGAGUAGGUUAGAGUAGAGUAGAGGAGAGGAGAGUAGAGUAGGUUAGAGUAGAGGAGAGGAGAGUGGAGGAGAGUAGAGGAGAGUAGUAGAGGAGAGUAGAGUAGAGUAGAGUAGUAGAGGAGAGUAGAGUAGAGGAGAGUAGAGUAGGAGAGUAGAGUAGGUUAGGUUAGAGUAGAGGAGAGGAGAGGAGGAGAGUAGAGUAGGUUAGAGUAGAGGAGAGUAGGUUAGAGUAGAGUAGAGUAGGUUAGAGUAGAGUAGGAGAGUAGAGGAGAGUAGAGUAGAGGAGAGUAGUAGAGGAGAGUAGAGGAGAGUAGAGUAGAGGAGAGUAGAGUAGGAGAGUAGAGGAGAGUAGGAGAGGAGAGUAGAGGGGAGAGUAGAGGGGAGUAGAGGAGAGUAGAGGAGAGUAGAGUAGGAGAGUAGAGUAGAGGGGAGUAGAGUAGAGGAGAGUAGAGUAGAGUAGUAGAGGAGAGGAGAGUAGUAGAGGAGAGGAGAGGAGAGUAGAGUAGAGGAGAGUAGAGGAGAGUAGAGGGGAGAGUAGAGGGGAGUAGAGGAGAGUAGAGGAGAGUAGAGUAGGAGAGUAGAGUAGAGUAGAGGGGAGUAGAGUAGAGGAGAGUAGAGUAGAGUAGGAGAGUAGAGGAGAGUAGAGUAGGAGAGUAGAGUAGUGUAGGAGAGGAGAGUAGAGUAGAGUAGAGGAGAGUAGUAGAGGAGAGUAGAGUAGAGUAGGAGAGUAGAGUAGAGGAGAGUAGAGUAGAGGAGAGUAUGAGAGUAGAGGAGAGGAAAGUUGAGUAGGAGAGUAGAGUAGGAGAGUAGAGUAGGAGAGUAGAGUAGAGGAGAGUAGAGUAGGAGAGUAGAGUAGGAGACUAGAGUAGGAGAGUAGAGGAGAGUAGAGUAGAGGAGAGGAGAGUAGAGUAGGAGAGUAGAGGAGAGGAGAGGAGAGGAGAGUAGAGUAGGAGAGUAGGAGAGGAGAGUAGAGGGGAGUAGAGGAGAGUAGAGUAGAGUAGAGGAGAGGAGAGGAGAGGAGAUUAGAGGAGAGUAGAGUAGGAGAGUAGAGUAGGAGAGUAGAGUAGGAGAGGAGAGUAGAGGGGAGUAGAGGAGAGUAGAGUAGAGUAGAGUAGAGUAGAGGAGAGGAGAGGAGAGUAGAGUAGUAGAGGAGAGUAGAGUAGAGGAGAUUAGAGGAGAGGAGAGUAGAGUAGGAGAGUAGAGUAGAGUAGAGGAGAGUAGGAGAGGAGAGGAGAGUAGAGUAUGAGAGUAGAGGAGAGUAGAGUAUGAGAGUAGAGGAGAGUAGAGUAGAGGAGAGUAGGAGAGGAGAGUAGAGUAGGAGAGUAGAGUAGAGGAGGAGAGUAGAGGAGAGGAGAGUAUGAGAGUAGAGGAGAGUAGAGUAGAGGAGAGUAGGAGAGGAGAGUAGAGUAGGAGAGUAGAGUAGAGGAGGAGAGUAGAGGAGAGGAGAGUAUGAGAGGAGAGUAGGAGAGUAGAGUAGAGGAGGAGAGUAGAGGAGAGGAGAGUAUGAGAGGAGAGGAGAGGAGAGGAGAGGAGAGGAGAGGAGAGGAGAGGAGGAAGGGAGGGUGCUGAUGAAACCCCAUUUCAGUGUGUAAGACAUAGUCCUAAUGAGACCAGAGAGUAAGGGAGUUACUGUAAAAGAACAAGCCAACAACUUCAACCUCGCCACAGCUGUGAGCUUCAUUCAUUAUUAAUCACAUGUACAUCAAACGAUCAUCAAACACAGAAACCCAACCAUUCCACGCUAGGCCUCUCUCAACAGAACCCACUGUUCAACUUCCAAUGAGAACUAAGGCCUAGGGUUGCAAAAUUCUGGUUACUUUCCCAAACAUCCAAGGUUUUCUAGAAAUCCUGGUUGGUGGAUUCCAUUGAAUAGGAGAGAGAAAGAGAGGAGAGUGUGCUGAAACAGCAGUAGGCUGGAUCUGGACCCAUGCUACAGCGCUAUAUUUGUUCUGUUUUUCCAAUAAUAAAACAGUGACAGCAUAAAUAUAUACAUAAAUACAGACAUGCCUAUAGACAACCACAACACAGGACAAUAACAAAACAAAAGCACCAGCCAGAAAAAGGUUUACAUUGUGCAUAUCUCAAACUAGGAAUGAGAUGGACUAAGUUCAGGAUAUCUCCUUAUUUUGGAUGUUAUGAAGGAGAUGUCUGAGGACCAGGUGUAUAUUACUGCCGUGGCUUCUUCUCUGUGGAUUUUAGCGCUGGACCUCUCCAGAGUUAAGAUGUCUCUGCCUCAAGACACCAUGUUGAGUUAGCCAGCUGAAGUGCUUGGGUUUUGAUGCAGCAUUCACAUUAUGAGCACCCCACGUAGGCUAAUCAAAUCCGCUGACAAGGGUGACUAGAUAAAAAUGCAAAGAAGUUUGACUAGUUGAAAGACUUGCUGUGUCACGAUCUUCAAAGCUAUCAACUGAGACAAUUUUUUGAUCGUUCUUCACUUUUCUCCACUGAAAACUUUGCAUCACUUUUUUAAAAACUUUGGGUUGAUUUUUAGUCUUCAGAACCUGCAGUGGCACGUCCCACCUUCUUAAUACAGUACCUAAUCAAGGUAGUCCUGAACAUUUUCAACAAAACUUUUUCUCAAGUAUUUCCUGUUCUUAUUUUCAAGUGAGUUCAGACUGAAGAGAAAAUCAGCAGACCAAUCAGUCAGUGUCAGUCAGACAGAGAGUGAGUGAGGCUGUUUCUCAAUGUUAGGCACUGCUGUUGAAUUUACAGUUUGGAUGGUAGGUGUUAGAAUAGUCCUCUCCUCUUUACUCCAGUCCUCUCCUCUUUACUCCAGUCCUCUCCUCUUUACCCCAGUCCUCUCCUCUUUAGCCCAGUCCUCUUCUCUUUACUCCAGUCCUCUCCCCUCUUCUUUACCCCAGUCCUCUCCUCUUUAGCCCAGUCCUCUCCUCUUCUCUUUACUCCAGUCCUCUCCCCUCUUCUUUACCCCAGUCCUCUCCUCUUUAGCCCAGUCCUCUCCUCUUCUCUUUNNNNNNNNNNNNNNNNNNNNCCAGUCUUCUCCUCUCCUCUUUACUCCAGUCUUCUCCUCUCCUCUUUACUCCAGUCUUCUCCUCUCCUCUUUACUCCAGUCUUCUCCUCUCCUCUUUACUCCAGUCUUCUCCUCUCCUCUUUACUCCAGUCUUCUCCUCUCCUCUUUACUCCAGUCCUCUCCUCCUUUUUACUCCAGUCCUCUCCUCUUUACUCCAGUCUUCUCCUCUCCUCUUUACUCCAGUCCUCUGCUCUUUACUCCAGUCCUCUCCUCUUUACUCCAGUCCUCUCCUCUUUACUCCAGUCCUCUCCUCUUUACUCCANNNNNNNNNNNNNNNNNNNNGAGUAGAGUAGAGGAGAGUAUGAGAGGAGAGGAGAGGAGAGGAGAGGAGAGGAGAGGAGAGGAGAGGAGAAAGGGAGGGUGCUGAUGAAACCCCAUUUCAGUGUGUAAGACAUAGUCCUAAUGAGACCAGAGAGUAAGGGAGUUACUGUAAAAGAACAAGCCAACAACUUCAACCUCGCCACAGCUGUGAGCUUCAUUCAUUAUUAAUCACAUGUACAUCAAACGAUCAUCAAACACAGAAACCCAACCAUUCCACGCUAGGCCUCUCUCAACAGAACCCACUGUUCAACUUCCAAUGAGAACUAAGGCCUAGGGUUGCAAAAUUCUGGUUACUUUCCCAAACAUCCAAGGUUUUCUAGAAAUCCUGGUUGGUGGAUUCCAUUGAAUAGGAGAGAGAAAGAGAGGAGAGUGUGCUGAAACAGCAGUAGGCUGGAUCUGGACCCAUGCUACAGCGCUAUAUUUGUUCUGUUU